GAGAUAUGGUGUAGAUAAAGAUGAGGAGAUAUGGUGUAGAUAAAGAUGAGGAGAUAUGGUUUAGAUAAAGAUGAUGAGAUAUGGUAUAGAUAAAGAUGAGGAGAUAUGGUUUAGAUAAAGAUGAGGAGAUGUGGUGUAGAUAAAGAUAAGGAUAUAUGGUGUAGAUAAAGAUGAUGAGAUAUGGUGUAUAUAAAGAUGAGGAUAUAUGGUAUAGAUAAAGACGAGGAUAUAUGGUGUAGAUAAAGACGAGGAGAUAUGGUGUAGAUAAAGAUGAGGAGAUAUGGUUUAGAUAAAGAUGAGGAGAUAUGGUGUAGAUAAAGAUGAUGAGAUAUGGUUUAGAUUGAGAUAUGGUGUAGAUAAAGAUGAGGAGAUAUGGUGUAGAUAAAGAUGAGGAGAUAUGGUGUAGAUAAAGUUGAGAAGAUAUGGUGUAGAUAAAGAUAAGGAGAUAUGGUUUAGAUAAAAAUGAGGAGAUAUGGUUUAGAUAAAGAUGAGGAGAUAUGGUUAAAUAAAGAUGAGGAGAUAUGGUUUAGAUCGAGAUAUGGUGGAGAUAAAGAUGAGGAGAUAUGGUUUAUAUAAAGAUGAGGAGAUAUGGUGUAGAUAAAGAUGAGGAGAUAUGGUUUCGAUAAAGAUGAGGAUAUAUGGUUUAGAUAAAGAUGAGGAGAUAUGGUGUAGAUAAAGAUGAGGAGAUAUGGUUUCGAUAAAGAUGAUGAUAUAUGGUGUAGGUAAAGAUGAGGAGAUAUGGUUUAGAUAAAGAUGAGGAGAUAUGGUGUAGAUAAAGAUGAGGAUAUAUGGUUUAGCUGAAGAUAAGGAGAUAUGGUGUAGAUAAAGAUGAGGAGAUAUGGUUUAGAUGGAGAUAUGGUGUAGAUAAAGAUGAGGAGAUACGGUGUAGAUAAAGAUGAGGAGAUAUGGUUUAGAUAAAGAUGAGGAUAUAUGGUGUAGAUAAAGAUGAGGAGAUAUGUUUUAGAUGGAGAUAUGGUGUAGAUAAAGAUGAGGAGAUAUGGUGUAGAUUAAGAUGAUGAGAUAUGGUGUAGAUAAAGAUGAUGAUGUAUGGUUUAGAUGAAGACGAGGAGAUAUGGUGUAGAUAAAGAUGAGGAGAUAUGGUUUAGAUGGAGAUAUGGUGUAGAUAAAGAUGAGGAGAUAUGGUUUAGAUGGAGAUAUGGUGAAGAUAAAGAUGAGGAGAUAUGGUUUAGAUAAAGAUGAGGAGAUAUGGUUUAGAUGGAGAUAUGGUGUAGAUAAAGAUGAGGAGAUGUGGUGUAGAUAAAGAUGAGGAGAUAUGGUUUAGAUGGAGAUACGGUGUAGAUAAAGAUAAGGAUAUAUGGUUUAGAUAAAGAUGAGGAGAUAUGGUUUAGACAAAGAUGAGGAGAUAUGGUGUAGAUAAAGAUGAGGAGAUAUGGUGUAGAUAAAGAUGAGGAGAUAUGGUUUAGAUAAAAAUGAGGAGAUACAGUUUAGAUAAAGAUGAGGAGAUAUAGUUUAGAUAAAGAUGAGGAGAUAUGGUUUAGAUCGAGAUAUGGUUUAGAUAAAGAUGAGGAGAUAUGGUGUAGAUAAAGAUGAGGAGAUAUGGUAUAGAUAAAGAUGAGGACAUAUGGUUUAGAUAAAGAUGAGGUGAUAUGGUGUAGAUAAAGAUGAGGAGAUAUGGUGUAGAUAAAGUUGAGAAGAUAUGGUGUAGAUAAAGAUGAGGAGAUAUGGUUUAGAUAAAGAUGAGGAGAUAUGGUGUAGAUAAAGAUGAGGAGAUAUGGUUUAGAUGGAGAUAUGGUGUAGAUAAAGAUGAGGAGAUAUGGUUUAGAUAAAGAUGAGGAGAUGUGGUGUAGAAAAAGAUGAGGAGAUAUGGUUUAGAUGGAGAUAUGGUGUAGAUAAAGAUAAGGAUAUAUGGUUUAGAUAAAGAUGAAGAGAUAUGGUUUAGAUAAAGAUGAGGAGAUAUGGUUUAGACAAAGAUGAGGAGAUAUGGUUUAGACAAAGAUGAGGAGAUAUGGUGUAGAUAAAGAUGAGGAGAUUUGGUGUAGAUAAAGAUGAGGAGAUAUGGUGUAGAUAAAGAUGAGGAGAUAUGGUGUAGAUAAAGAUGAGGAGAUAUGGUUUAGAUAAAAAUGAGGAGAUACAGUUUAGAUAAAGAUGAGGAGAUAUAGUUUAGAUAAAGAUGAGGAGAUAUGGUUUAGAUCGAGAUAUGGUUUAGAUAAAGAUGAGGUGAUAUGGUGUAGAUAAAGAUGAGGAGAUAUGGUGUAGAUAAAGUUGAGAAGAUAUGGUGUAGAUAAAGAUGAGGAGAUAUGGUUUAGAUAAAGAUGAGGAGAUAUGGUUUAGAUAAAGAUGAGGAGAUAUGGUGUAGAUAAAGAUGAGGAGAUAUGGUGUAGAUAAAGUUGAGAAGAUAUGGUGUAGAUAAAGAUGAGGAGAUAUGGUUUAGAUAAAGAUGAGGAGAUAUGGUGUAGAUAAAGAUGAGGAGAUAUGGUUUAGAUGGAGAUAUGGUGUAGAUAAAGAUGAGGAGAUAUGGUUUAGAUGGAGAUGUGGUGUAGAAAAAGAUGAGGAGAUAUGGUUUAGAUGGAGAUAUGGUGUAGAUAAAGAUAAGGAUAUAUGGUUUAGAUAAAGAUGAGGAGAUAUGGUUUAGAUAAAGAUGAGGAGAUAUGGUUUAGACAAAGAUGAGGAGAUAUGGUGUAGAUAAAGAUGAGGAGAUUUGGUGUAGAUAAAGAUGAGGAGAUAUGGUGUAGAUAAAGAUGAGGAGAUAUGGUGUAGAUAAAGAUGAGGAGAUAUGGUUUAGAUAAAAAUGAGGAGAUACAUUUUAGAUAAAGAUGAGGAGAUAUAGUUUAGAUAAAGAUGAGGAGAUAUGGUUUAGAUCGAGAUAUGGUUUAGAUAAAGAUGAGGAGAUAUGGUGUAGAUAAAGAUGAGGAGAUAUGGUAUAGAUAAAGAUGAGGACAUAUGGUUUAGAUAAAGAUGAGGUGAUAUGGUGUAGAUAAAGAUGAGGAGAUAUGGUGUAGAUAAAGUUGAGAAGAUAUGGUGUAGAUAAAGAUGAGGAGAUAUGGUAUAGAUAAAGAUGAGGACAUAUGGUUUAGAUAAAGAUGAGGUGAUAUGGUGUAGAUAAAGAUGAGGAGAUAUGGUGUAGAUAAAGUUGAGAAGAUAUGGUGUAGAUAAAGAUGAGGAGAUAUGGUUUAGAUAAAGAUGAGGAGAUAUGGUUUAGAUAAAGAUGAGGAGAUACGGUUUAGAUAAAGAUGAGGAGAUAUGGUUAAAUAAAGAUGAGGAGAUACGGUUUAGCUGAAGAUAAGGAGAUAUGGUGUAGAUAAAGAUGAGGAGAUAUGGUGUAGAUAAAGAUGAUGAUAUAUGGUUUAGAUAAAGAUGAGGAGAUAUGGUGUAGAUAAAGAUGAGGAGAUAUGGUUUAGAUGGAGAUAUGGUGUAGAUAAAGAUGAGGAGAUAUGGUGUAGAUAAAGAUGAUGAGAUAUGGUGUAGAUAAAGAUGAUGAUAUAUGGUUUAGAUAAAGAUGAGGAGAUAUGGUGUAGAUAAAGAUGAGGAGAUAUGGUUUAGAUGGAGAUAUGGUGUAGAUAAAGAUGAGGAGAUAUGGUGUAGAUAAAGAUGAGGAGAUAUGGUUUAGAUAAAGAUGAGGAGAUAUGGUUUAGAUAAAGAUGAAGAGAUAUGGUUUAGAUAAAGAUGAGGAGAUAUGGUUUAGACAAAGAUGAGGAGAUACAUUUACAUUUACAUUUAAGUCAUUUAGCAGAAACUCUUAUCCAGAGCGACUUACAAAUUGGAGAUAUGGUGUGGAUAAAGAUGAGGAGAUUUGGUGUAGACAAAGAUGAGGAGAUAUGGUGUAGAUAAAGAUGAUGAGAUAUGGUGUAGAUAAAGAUGAGGAGAUAUGGUGUAGAUAAAGGUGAGUAGAUAUGGUAUAGAUAAAGAUGACGAUAUAUGGUUUAGAUAAAGAUGACGAUAUAUGGUUUAGAUAAAGAUGAGCAGAUAUGGUGUUGAUAAAGAUGAGGAGAUAUGGUUUAGAUAAAGAUGAGGAGAUAUGGUUUAGAUAAAGAUGAGGAGAUAUGGGAUAGAUAAAGAUGAGGAGAUAUGGUGUAGAUAAAGAUGAGGAGAUAUGGUUUAGAUGGAGAUAUGGUGUAGAUAAGAUGAGGAGAUAUGGUGUAGAUAAAGAUGAUGAGAUAUGGUGUAGAUAAAGAUGAUGAUGUAUGGUUUAGAUGAAGACGAGGAGAUAUGGUGUAGAUAAAGAUGAGGAGAUAUUGUUUAGAUGGAGAUAUGGUGAAGAUAAAGAUGAGAAGAUAUGGUUUAGAUAAAGAUGAGGAGAUAUGGUGUAGAUGAAGAUAUGGUGUAGAUAAAGAUGAGGAGAUAUGGUGUAGAUAAAGAUGAGAAGAUAUGGUGUAGAUAAAGAUGAGGAGAUAUGGUUUAGAUAAAGAAGAGGAGAUAUGGUUUAGAUAAAGAUGAGGAGAUAUGGUGUAGAUGAAGAUAUGGUGUAGAUAAAGAUGAGGAGAUAUGGUUUAGAUAAAGAUGAGGAGAUAUGGUGUAGAUAAAGAUGAGAAGAUAUGGUGUAGAUAAAGAUGAGGAGAUAUGGUUUAGAUAAAGAAGAGGAGGUACGGUUUAGAUAAAGAUGAGGAGAUAUGGUUUAGAUCGAGAUAUGGUGUAGAUAAAGAUGAGGAGAUAUGGUUUAUAUAAAGAUGAUGAUAUAUGGUUUUGAUAAAGAUGAGGAGAUAUGGUUUAGAUAAAGAUGAGGAGAUAUGGUGUAGAUAAAGAUGAGGAGAUAUGGUUUAGAUAAAGAUGAUGAUAUAUGGUUUCGAUAAAGAUGAGGAGAUAUGGUUUAGAUAAAGAUGAUGAUAUAUGGUUUCGAUAAAGAUGAGGAUAUAUGGUUUAGAUAAA